rnacentral:tRNA from 2 species
GUAAACGUAGCUCAAUUGGUUAGAGCAUUAGAUUGUGGUUCUAAAGUGUGUCGGUUCAAUUCCGAUCGUUUACC